UGGUGGUGAUGACGACAAUUAAUCAACAAUAACUUAAACCUAUCCCAAGCUUGGUAUAGAUUUUAUCCACCUCUCUGUUUAAAACUUAAUAUCUCACUCCUCAGUGU